GUCAGUGACAACCCUACAACAGAUGUAUCCAUCAGAUCGCCAUCAAUGAUGGUGAUACAUGGCUGUGUACAUAAUGUAUAUACAACUCGUCUAAACAUCAACCCAACAAUGUUAGAUCUGUAAAUUUGCUUUCGCAAAUUUUUGGUUCUUCCCUCGCCGGGAUUCGAACCCAUGCUACUGUGAUAUCGUGACACCAAAUCGCCUGCACUGCAGCCGUCCCGCA
rnacentral:lncRNA from 1 species